rnacentral:rRNA from 1 species
ACGGCUCAGUAACACGUAGUCAACCUACCCUAUGGACGGGAAUAACCUCGGGAAACUGAGAAUAAUGCCCGAUAGAACAUUAUGCCUGGAAUGGUUUAUGUUUCAAAUGAUUUAUCGCCAUAGGAUGGGACUGCGGCCUAUCAGUUUGUUGGUGAGGUAAUGGCCCACCAAGACUAUUACAGGUACGGGCUCUGAGAGGAGUAGCCCGGAGAUGGGUACUGAGACACGGACCCAGGCCCUAUGGGGCGCAGCAGGCGAGAAAACUUUGCAAUGUGCGAAAGCACGACAAGGUUAAUCCGAGUGGUUUCUGCUAAAGAAACCUUUUGUCAGUCCUAGAAACACUAACGAAUAAGGGGUGGGCAAGUUCUGGUGUCAGCCGCCGCGGUAAAACCAGCACCUCAAGUGGUCAGGAUGAUUAUUGGGCCUAAAGCAUCCGUAGCCCGUUUUGUAAGUUUUCGGUUAAAUCCAUGCGCUUAACGUAUGGGCUGCCGGGAAUACUGCAUAACUAGGAAGUGGGAGAGGUAGACGGUACUCGGUAGGAAGGGGUAAAAUCCUUUGAUCUAUUGAUGACCACCUGUGGCGAAGGCGGUCUACCAGAACACGUUCGACGGUGAGGGAUGAAAGCUGGGGGAGCAAACCGGAUUAGAUACCCGGGUAGCCCCAGCUGUAAACUAUGCAAACUCAGUGAUGCAUUGGCUUAUGGCCAAUGCAGUGCUGCAGGGAAGCCGUUAAGUUUGCCGCCUGGGAAGUACGUACGCAAGUAUGAAACUUAAAGGAAUUGGCGGGGGAGCAC